GGCGCUGUUACUUUGAAG
rnacentral:siRNA from 1 species